CACUUCCAGCAGCAGCAGCAGCAAGAGGAGGAGGAGGGCGGGCACGUAAAUAAAUGCAUAAAUAAAUAGCAGAACGACGAUCUCUGCUGCGGUGCCACUCACCCCCGGCCGGGCAGGCAGCGGCUUAGCCUUGCAGCCACCAUCUUUAGUGCUGGCAGGCCGCCCCCAUCGUGGCGGGGCGGACAUCUUGGGCGAGGGAUGGGGCGGUGCCGUGAGGGAUGCCGGGGCCGCCAUGUUGAGUUCGGGAGGAAGAGGGUAGUGCGGGGUUGGCGUGUUUUUCGUGCCUUGGCGUAGGAAAUAUGAUGCGUUUUAAUUUUUCUAUGAUUAGUAUUGCGAUGCUUGCCCUACAGGGGUUUCGUGUGGAGCCCUGCGCUCGGUGUCAGGGAUCCCGUGAGGGAGGCUUCGGCCGGGCAGGCUCUUCGCUGCCGGAAAGCGCCUAAAACAGGCGGUGACAGAAAAAAACGCAUCUAGAAUAGAAGUACGGAAUUUGGGGCGAAUUCCCUCUGGCAGCUGGAGGGCGGGAGCGGGAGGGCGACCCGACGGAGGGGCUGCCCUGGGCUGUGGUACCGCAGUAGCAGCGGGGGGAGAGCCUCGGCCUGCUUCUCCACCGCCAACACGAUGGCGUUUCUGCUCGUUUUGAAGAUUUCUUUUCCAAGUCUUGAGGGUUAGGCUAGCAUUUCUGCGUAGGAAACUGCUUACUGAGAAGUUGUGCCCCUUGCAAGUUUAUAGGGAACGAGUCUAAUGCCGUAUGUACCAUCCCACAACCCAAUCCUGGAACAAGCUGCCAUACCCCUAAUUCCACCUUUUGUGUCUCACUGUGACCAAGGGCGUGGUGGAAAAACGUUGUAAUUUUGAAAUCUCUGUCUCAAUAUGAAAGAGGUUUUGAGUCGAGCGGGAUUGAUCUCGGUCACUGCGAGGUCCAUCCUUGCGGCAAAGCGCCUUCAUCAGCCACCGCUGCUGAGUCCUGGACGGGCAGGAGAGGGCGCAGCCUUCCCAGGAGUCUCGAGUUGGAAAAGCCAUCGUGAUGUGUGGGUCAAGACGGUUCCGAAAGCCUGGCUCUCAAAAAGCCGCAUGGUCUGGAGGCUUAAACACUCCUCCUGGGCUGGGAAUGGAGGAUGGCAGAGAGAACUUGUUACGCUCUGUAUCCCUUCCUUCAUAAAUUCAUUCUUCUUCAUUCUUCAUUCAUAAUUCUCAAGAAAAAUGAGUAUUUAUAGGGAAACAAUUUAGCUUUUUCUUUCUCAUCUUAACAUUUACAAUGUGGUUCCUGACUAACUUUUAGGUACAGCUAAACUCUACUAUAUAUUAUGUACUGUGAUACAGAGUAUUUUCUGAAAGAUGUUGGAUUGCUAGCAUUGGGUAGGGCAGGUUUUUAUGUUUUUUUCAGUGCUGUGGGUCUUUUUAAUUAAAAAAAAAAAA